UCUUGCUGCGCCUAUCCAAAAAAUAUAAAUAGAAAUCGAAAUUACAAAUUCAAUUCAAUAUUCAAAUAGUUUUUAUCAAAUACGAAUUCUUUGGUUCGACUGUCUGAUGUCAAAUCGAUGAUAUUAAGUUCGUGAUUAUCUUUAAUCCGAUUAACUCACGAUUAUUUUUACAUGUUUAUAACCACAUAUCAUUUCAGUAAUCAAUUGCUUUUCAUUAAUUUGUCAGGGAACAUCGUCGCGUCGUGACGGACAAGGGUUACGUUGUAUUGGUACCAGUUUGUACUUACUUAUUCUACAGGGUUCGUAUAUGUUACAACUGAGAUUUAGGAGAUUUAUCAUGAUGAGUUACACUGAGAAGCAACACGUAAAAAUAGUAGACUUUUAGUAUCAAAGUGAUAAGUCCAUUAUCGGCCACUACGUUCGCUCGAUCUUUCGGCUUUCCAUUACUUUCUGUGGGGCUAUCUAAAGGAAUGGGUACAUGUGAAUAGACCAUGUACAUUUGAAGAGCUCAAGGAAAACAUUCUUGCAGAAACUGGAAUAUUAGGACAUUAUAUAAUACUCAGACAUUAAACAUUGUUAUGAAACAUGCUAUCGAAAAAGCCUGACAUUGCUAGACAGUAAACAGAGGGCAUAGAAGAAAUAUUAUUAACUCUCAUACAUAAACUCCAUACUAUUAUAAGCUUUAAAUAUUUAGCAAUAUUGUACAAAUAUGUUGUAAAAUAAGAAAGUUAUUUGUGUC